UUGUCAGUGUUAGACAAUAGAGCCAGCAGAAGCAGCGGCGUCGACCUAGCCAAAGUCUUCGUUCUUUGUGAGUACGUGCCUAAUCAGACCAGAUAAUAGGCCACAGAUCGCCAUGGGACGUGGACAAAGUCUUCUGAGUCUAAUGCUACUAUAAGAGGGACGGGGGCAGAGAGAGAGAGAGAGAGAGUAGCAGGUAGCGUCUCUCCUUGCUUGCAUAUCUGAAGCUCCAAACUAGGCCUUCUCUGACCAGCACACACUCCAUUGCAAAGUUCCAGCUUCAACCAACCGCAGCUUAAGAACAUAGAGGUGUAUGUUGGAGCAGCUUAAGCUGGGCAACAGGCCAACAGCCACCAGGGAGCGCACUGUCGAGAGUUCAGACGAUUCCAAACUGCUGAAGCUCUCUGCAUCCACGCUGCAGUGUGCCGGUUUAUUAGUGCUUAUUUCAGUCUGCGUCGCCCAAAUAUUCGCAGCUUCAUAUAUGGCAGGAUAUGGAUUGACAAAUAGUUAGACGUGUGUUCAACAGAAAAUUAGCGAAACACUAAAUAAUAGUACAUCAAUUAGCUUCGGCCUGUAUCACAAGCUUGAAGUUCCUUGUCAAAUACCCUGCUGUAUCAAAGGAGGACGCAAGUCUUUAGUUAAGAAGAAGCCAGAUCACAAGCCAUGGCUGCUGUCCUGGAUGCAUUUGUAUCCUUUCUGAUAGACAAGGUGACAAAGAUGGCAACUGAAGAGGUGGCCAUGUUGCAUGGCGUUCCCGGUGAGAUCAGCAAGCUCGAGGAGAAGCUGCAGGAGCUGAAGGCUGUGCUCGCUGACGCAGAGAGGAGGCGCAUCACAGAGAAGACCGUGCAGCGGUGGGUGAUGAUGCUGAAGGAUGUUAUGUAUGAGGCGACUGAUAUACUGGACAUCUGUAAUCUUAAGGCUGAGGAGCGGCAGGAGUCCACGGGUGUGGAUUGCACGUGCUUCGUCAAUCCCAUGUCACUCUGCUUGCAGAGUCCUGUCUUCACCCAUAACAUUGGAAGCCGCAUCAAGGAUCUCAACAAGAAGCUUGAUAGCAUCUGUGAAAGUGGUGCUCAAUUCAACUUCAUUAGAAUGGAGCAGAACCAGGACCGGGGGAUGGUUUCUCAUCCUGCCAGAGGUAAAACAUCACCAGUGAUGGAACAUUCGAGCUUGGUAGGGGAGAAAAUCAAAGAAGAUACUGUUGAACUGGUGAAUAUGCUAACAAAUGAAGGACAGGCCAAUCAUGCAGAUAAUUACAUUGUUAUUGCCAUUUCUGGCACCGGGGGGAUUGGCAAGACCACACUGGCCCAGAAUAUUUACAAUCAUCAAACCAUCAAAGAAAAAUUCAGGAAAAUGAUAUGGUUGAGUGUCACCCAGGCCUGCACUGAAACCGAACUGUUGAGGGUGGCCAUCACUGGAGCUGGAGGAGACUAUUUUCAGGCUCAUGACAAGUCCCUGCUUGAGCCCGCCCUAGUAAACUUAAUCCGGGACAAGAAAAUAUUUGUGGUACUAGAUGAUAUGUGGACUGCAGCUGAGUGGAACAACGUACUCAGGGCAUCUUUCAGUUAUGUUGCUCGCGGAAGCCGAGUCCUUCUCACCACAAGAGAUGAUAGAGUUGCCCUUGCGAUGAAGGCUCGUUACCUUCACCGUAUUAACUACUUGGGGCCUCAAGACGCAUGGUCCUUGCUUAAAAAACAGGUCGUAGCAACUGAGAGGGAUGAGCUUCAUAUAGAUACACUAAAGAAUAUUGGAUUGGCGAUUCUAGGCAGAUGUGGUGGUUUACCUCUUGCUAUCAAAGUGAUAGGAGGACUAUUGCGACAGAGGUGUAUGAACAUGGUUGAGUGGGAGAGGAUUUUAAAUAAUCCUGCAUGGUCAAUUGAUGGAAUGCCCGAAGAGCUAAACCAUGCAAUAUACUUGAGUUAUGAUGAUCUACCUCCUCAUUUGAAGCAAUGCUUGCUUUACUACUCACUUAUUCCUCAAAAAGCAAACGUUGGUCCUGAUCGGAUGAUUGAAAUGUGGAUUAGUGAAGGAUUGGUGAGCAGUAAUUACUCUGAUGAUCUGGAACAGAUAGGAGCAGAUUACAUCAACGAGUUAAUCUGGAGGAACCUUAUAGAACCAUAUAAGCAAUACAUUGGCCAUUCGCAUUACAUAAUGCAUGAUGUUGUUCGGUCAUUUUGUCAUUAUAUGGUUGGAGAUGACGCACUGGUGGCUGCUAAGGGAGAAAGUAAUAUUGGUAGCAGACUUAGUUUACAAAAAUUCCGUCUGCUGUCUAUUGGAGUCGAGUCAAGUUUCAAUGAACUAGAUUGGGGUGUUUUACAAAAGCAUAGUUCGCUAAGAACAUUAAUUUCAUUUUACCCCAUCAAGUUUAAGCGUGAUGAUUCGUUAAGUGGAUUGUCAAGGCUACGUACACUAUAUUUAAAGAAUUCAGAUUUUAGUCCAUUAUUAGCAAACCAUCUGGGAGGACUCAAGCACCUGAGGUUCUUGACCAUAGAAAGUACUGAAAUAUCUAGUCUACCGGAUAGUAUUGGCCACAUGAAAUUGUUGCAGUACCUAGACCUUAUGGAUUGUAAGAGAGUGGUUCGACUUCCUAAUGGCAUUGUAAAAUUAAAGAAGCUGAGAUCUCUGUAUCUCAAUACAACCAUAAAUACUAUACCAGAGAAAUUUGGUGCAUUGACAAACUUGAGGAAAAUAACAAACUUUCCAGCCAGCAUGGAUGGUGGUUCAAAUGGUUGGUGUACUUUAGAAGAGCUAGGUCCUCUUUCUCAGCUUAGGAAUCUUGGACUCAAGGGUCUGGAGAAUGUAUAUCCCAGCUCCUUAGCUGCAAAGGCCAUGCUAUCUACCAAGAUGCAUCUUUGCCGCUUGAUUUUUAAAUGCAGCAGUAUAAUUGGGGAUGAUGGGUGGUCAUUCGAAAGAAUAGUCACAGAGGAGGAGCAGCGGCACGUUGAGGAGGUAUUUGAUGAGCUGUGCCCUCCUGGUUGUAUAGAGCAUUUGACUAUUGAUGGAUAUUUCGGGCGUCGACUCCCUGAAUGGGUUACAUCAAUGACAGGAUCAGUGUCUCUAGAGAGGCUGCGGAUUUUGCAUCUGCGGGAUCUUGCUUAUUGUAUCCAACUCCCUAGUGGCUUGUGUCAUCUACCCUGCUUACAGACACUGAUUGUUCAUCGCGCUCCUGCCAUCAAGCACGUUGGCCCUGAAUUGAUAUGCCACAAUCAGCACCAUCCCCGUGUGUCCACAUCAUUAUUCCCAUGUUUGGAGGAAUUGGACUUCAGUGGAAUGCUGUGCUGGGAGGAGUGGAAGUGGGAGUGCGAGGAACUGAUUGAAGCCAUGCCAGUCUUGGUGCAUCUUACACUCGACAAAUGUGAAUCAUUGACGCGACUUCCACCUGGCCUUGCGUUCCAUGCAAAGGCUCUCAAGGUGUUGAGGCUGCAUCAUGUCCAUUGCCUCACCUUCCUGGAGAACUUCCCUUGUGUUAUUAAUCUUUAUUUGGAGUGCUGCUACAAGCUAGAGAGAAUCACUAACCUCCGCAGGUUGCAGAAGGUUUUCGUCCGUUGCUGCUCGAAGCUGCAAGUAUUAGAGGGCGUCCCAGCACUACGAUACCUUCAACUGCAGAGUCGUGGCCAGCCAACACUACCAAGAUAUCUGCGGGAUCUCAACCUCUGCCGUCUGGAGUCUGGACCUAUGCUGCGACCUACCGUUGCUCUGUUCCAUGGCUCGGGGAAAAUCCACCCACAACUGGGAUAGGUUCUGCCAUAUCGAUCGUGUGGAGGCCCAUGCCGAAAUUGAUCUAAAUGUCCAUGCCGAUUGUGGUCCAAAGUUCACUGUCUCGUAUACAAGGAAUCCGCGUUACCUUGAGACCAAUAUCAGCAGCGCCCUCUUCAAUAUCCUUGGACGAAGGUGAUUACAGAGGUUUUGUACGAGGUGGAAGCUGAAUCCUGGUUGAAUACAAGAUCAUUAUCAUAUAUGAUCGUAUCCGACCCACAUCCCACGAUUUAAAAAUCAAUAUUGUAUACAUAUGGAAGAGCAUAACGUUGUGGUGCAUCACCACAACAUUCCUAUGUCGUCCCAGGUAUGUCCUCAAGCACAUUCUUUUCCUCCGCUGGAUCGCAGUCCUUGCUUCUCUACAGCAGCUCAUUUAUUUCCAGUCCAGCGGCCCAUUAUGUCCCUGGCGGGGAGACUGGAUAGAGCAAUUGCAGAUGAGCACAUCGGGCUCCAUGAAAACAGAAUGCAAAACAAAAAACCAUCCAAACGAAGUCUUCAAAGUAACUUACCCACCCGCCAUAACCACCUGACCCUCCGCACCAUCCCUGAGCGUGAUUGAUAAAUCAAUCGAACUUUGAAUCAAGCGGCUGCCACCUUCCAUUUGAUCCCUCCUCCAGUCCUCCUUCCAGCAGCUCAUUGUUGCGGUAGAUGAUAGGUGAGGCGAUGCAUGGAGGCGUUAGGAUCCCUAGGCGCCGUGGCAAAAUCCCAGGAGGCGGCGAUAUCCCCAAUGGAGGCAGGCGCAAUGGCGGCGGCGGCGUCAACUAACGGCAAAAUCCCUGGGCGCCGUUGCAAAAUAAUCUAUAGAGGAGAUCCACCCCCGAGAGACCGGCCCCUACGCGGCAGACGCAACAAUAUCCCUGACGAAGGCAGGUGCAAUGGCAGCGGCGGCGACCCACGUCCCUAGGCGUAGGAGGCAACAUGACGGAGUGAGAAUGCCAGCAUUGUGAGGAAACAAGGUGAUCACACUAGCCUUCGUAGAGGGGAUCAAAUGGCUGUCCGGUGGCAGAUUAGUUAUAUGUCGAUCACCAGUGCAAAAAUAGCAAUGCUCGGACUUUCUGGCCAUUGUAAGAGGGGACUGAUGAAAUCAGGAAGGAAGAAUAAAGAAUACCUGGAGCAAAAUUUCUGCUAGCUGCAUGAUGCUAGCAAGGGUGCAAAGAUUUCAAGCAGAGGAGAAUGCAUUCAGGCAUGGGAUGAUGUGGAAGCUGGGGCAUUUGGUCUCACGUGAGCAAAGGGCUUGUGAUUGGGAGUGGUUUGAAGGUAGGUGUGAUCUAAUGUUGCAGUUGGGCAAUUACUCAUAGUCAUGGAAAUCAAGAAAAAAUGCAGAUAUAAGAAAGGAGAUAAGAAGUGAGUAUGAUGUUCCAUUGCCCCUAAUUCUUUUCUGUUUGGCCCUAUUUGUGGAGACCUAUGAUGUGAACUUGGAUAGAAGGCAUAUGAAAUGGCCGGUCGUGAGGAGUGCAUUGCUUAUUGGAGGAGGAACAGAAGGAAGUAUCCAUGACCCCUCACUUAUGCGGAGCUUUCGGCCAUUGAGGAUAAGAAGUAGUGUGAGAUCGAGAAGUGGAGGUUGAGGGAGGAAAGAGCAAGUAAAUGUUUUAUCAUUGAUACCAAUACAAAUUACCCAAAGGGUUCAUGGGAAGACUAUUUCCAAAAAUUGGAGGCUAACAAGAGGAUGGCAAAAUGGAAGAGAUGGAGGCGUUAGCUCGGGAGGCCCAGAUGGAGGCAAUGCAGGCACUAGUUGCUGAUUUGCCUCAUAAGGUGCCCAGCGUCGAGAAGGAAGUGGCAUCCAACGAAACGGAGGAUUUUGGUGUAAGAGCAACACAAUGAAGGCACUCAUUGGUAACUUACCUGUACAAGAUGACCAUGUUGACCGCAAAGGGAAAGCAGUGGAUAUUCCCAAUCGGGUGGGCAAUGAAGAUGACAAUGAUUGGGGUGAGGACAAGUUGCUUUUGACUGCGACUCGGAUUAGGAUGUCCCGUAUUAAUUCUAUGUUAUCUAUGUAAUGGACUUUGUAUGUGUCCAAGACUUUAGUUUCGAGUAAUGGACUUUGUACGUGUUUAAGACUUUAGUUUCAAGUAACUAACUUUGUAUGGUUGUCAGACGUGGACUUUAUUUCAUGUACGGUGUGUUAUGUAAUGAAUACUUAUAUCCAUGGUUCGAACUUCA